UACGUAUGGUGCAAGCGUUAUCCGGAUUUACUGGGCGCAAAGGGAGCGCAGGCGGCGCGCCAAGUCUGAUGUGAAACCCCGGGGCUCAACCCCGGGCAUGCAUUGGAAACUGGCGGGCUGGAGUGCCGGAGAGGUAAGCGGAAUUCCUAGUGUAGCGGUGAAAUGCGUAGAUAUUAGGAGGAACACCAGUGGCGAAGGCGGCUUACUGGACGGCAACUGACGCUGAGGCUCGAAAGCGUGGGGAGCAAACAGG
rnacentral:rRNA from 1 species